GUGGUUUGCAUAAAAAUUAGAAAAUAGCUUACAAAUGAAAAUAUGUCCAAACUUCAAAGAAGAGAGUAUUGAAAAUUCCCAAGGUAGCAUAAACUAAGAUGCUUGCUUACUCUUGACAAUAUUGCUUGUUGCAUGCCACAGUUACUUUUGAGUUCCAUAUUUUAUCACAAGUGCAAUAUGUUCAAUUGAAAAAGUUUUUGCAUUCUAGAAUUCACAUAUCAAGAAAAUUGUGUUCAGUUGGUUGAAAUUGUUUUUUGUAUAUUGUAGUUGCACUAUUAUUGCCAAAUGCUAAACUGGAUGCUGGUUCUAACUAAGAUUACCAUUGUUUUUAUUUAUUUAUUUAU
rnacentral:misc_RNA from 1 species